AUGACAAGAAAUGUGAGGAAACAAACAGAGAAAGAGAGUGAUAUGGAGAUCAGUGAAGAAGAAUCCCGUUCCUCUAGCCCAGAGGUGAACCAGUCUAAUGCGCUGCUAAAACAGGAGAGCAUCGAUAAAAGACCAAAUUUUUCUCAUGAUUCAGGUGGUCCAGAACAGUGUCGGCCUGAUAUAUCUGAAGAGGUCCGUGAUAAGGUAAUGGGAUCACAUGCUAUCCA
ensembl:lncRNA